GCCGUGGUAGCUCAGUGGUAGAGCACGCGAGUCGGAAAUUGCAAGUCUGAAUAAGGCGGGUUCGAUUUCAGCGCGGGGCG